GAAACAGGUUAAUAUUCCUGUACUUGGUGUUACUGCGAAGGGGGGACGGAGAAGGCUAUGUUGGCCGGGCGACGGUUGUCCCGGUUUAAGCGUGUAGGCUGGUUUUCCAGGCAAAUCCGGAAAAUCAAGGCUGAGGCGUGAUGACGAGGCACUACGGUGCUGAAGCGACAAAUGCCCUGCUUCCAGGAAAAGCCUCUAAGCAUCAGGUAACAUCAAAUCGUACCCCAAACCGACACAGGUGGUCAGGUAGAGAAUACCAAGGCGCUUGAGAGAACUCGGGUGAAGGAACUAGGCAAAAUGGUGCCGUAACUUCGGGAGAAGGCACGCUGAUAUGUAGGUGAAGCGACUUGCUCGUGGAGCUGAAAUCAGUCGAAGAUACCAGCUGGCUGCAACUGUUUAUUAAAAACACAGCACUGUGCAAACACGAAAGUGGACGUAUACGGUGUGACGCCUGCCCGGUGCCGGAAGGUUAAUUGAUGGGGUUAGCGGUAACGCGAAGCUCUUGAUCGAAGCCCCGGUAAACGGCGGCCGUAACUAUAACGGUCCUAAGGUAGCGAAAUUCCUUGUCGGGUAAGUUCCGACCUGCACGAAUGGCGUAAUGAUGGCCAGGCUGUCUCCACCCGAGACUCAGUGAAAUUGAACUCGCUGUGAAGAUGCAGUGUACCCGCGGCAAGACGGAAAGACCCCGUGAACCUUUACUAUAGCUUGACACUGAACAUUGAGCCUUGAUGUGUAGGAUAGGUGGGAGGCUUUGAAGUGUGGACGCCAGUCUGCAUGGAGCCGACCUUGAAAUACCACCCUUUAAUGUUUGAUGUUCUAACGUGGGCCCCUUACCGGGGUUGCGGACAGUGUCUGGUGGGUAGUUUGACUGGGGCGGUCUCCUCCUAAAGAGUAACGGAGGAGCACGAAGGUUGGCUAAUCCUGGUCGGACAUCAGGAGGUUAGUGCAAUGGCAUAAGCCAGCUUGACUGCGAGCGUGACGGCGCGAGCAGGUGCGAAAGCAGGUCAUAGUGAUCCGGUGGUUCUGAAUGGAAGGGCCAUCGCUCAACGGAUAAAAGGUACUCCGGGGAUAACAGGCUGAUACCGCCCAAGAGUUCAUAUCGACGGCGGUGUUUGGCACCUCGAUGUCGGCUCAUCACAUCCUGGGGCUGAAGUAGGUCCCAAGGGUAUGGCUGUUCGCCAUUUAAAGUGGUACGCGAGCUGGGUUUAGAACGUCGUGAGACAGUUCGGUCCCUAUCUGCCGUGGGCGCUGGAGAACUGAGGGGGGCUGCUCCUAGUACGAGAGGACCGGAGUGGACGCAUCACUGGUGUUCGGGUUGUCAUGCCAAUGGCACUGCCCGGUAGCUAAAUGCGGAAGAGAUAAGUGCUGAAAGCAUCUAAGCACGAAACUUGCCCCGAGAUGAGUUCUCCCUGACUCCUUGAGAGUCCUGAAGGAACGUUGAAGACGACGACGUUGAUAGGCCGGGUGUGUAAGCGCAGCGAUGCGUUGAGCUAACCGGUACUAAUGAACCGUGAGGCUUAACCUU
rnacentral:rRNA from 1 species